GAAUAGCUCCCAGAUGAGCUGAGGAACCUGAGAGGUCGUGAGAAAGAGGCGAACCCCCUUCCCACAGCCGGCGCACUGCCAGCCGCCGGGGGAAUGUGGGAGAGCGUCUCUCUGACACACGCAUCAACUCUCCCGCUGCUUGCCCAAACACCCCACCGCAUGCCUGCCAGCAAGCGCUGACGCACAGGGCCCAUCUGAGGGGGGUAGAGUGGAGCUGAUUGGGGCAGUAUGUGGGAAGCUCGACAGCAGAGGCGUACGUGAGGACGAGGACAGGGGACAGGAAGGAGGAUGGAAUGAUGGAAGCCACAGUUACAGAAGUGGUGUUUGUAGAGGAUCCACUGCAGAGCUUUUAUUCUUGCCAGCGAUCACUCCAGGAAAGUACUCUGAUCUGACACCCACAGGCUGCUGUUCUGCCGAUGCUCUUUUGCAUCAGACAUAAUGAGAUGGAGGUGCAGGAGUAACGCUGGAAACUCAAGCUGUUUGACGGCCUCCAGAUCCUUCAGCGCCUGGAGUGGGACUGAAUUUCAUCUCAGUCAAGGCGAAGAAAAGU